rnacentral:rRNA from 1 species
GAUGAACGCCGGCGGCGUGCCUAAUACAUGCAAGUCGAGCGAACGGACGAGAAGCUUGCUUCUCUGAUGUUAGCGGCGGACGGGUGAGUAACACGUGGAUAACCUACCUAUAAGACUGGGAUAACUUCGGGAAACCGGAGCUAAUACCGGAUGAUAUUUUGAACCGCAUGGUUCAAAAGUGAAAGACGGUCUUGCUGUCACUUAUAGAUGGAUCCGCGCUGCAUUAGCUAGUUGGUAAGGUAACGGCUUACCAAGGCAACGAUGCAUAGCCGACCUGAGAGGGUGAUCGGCCACACUGGAACUGAGACACGGUCCAGACUCCUACGGGAGGCAGCAGUAGGGAAUCUUCCGCAAUGGGCGAAAGCCUGACGGAGCAACGCCGCGUGAGUGAUGAAGGUCUUCGGAUCGUAAAACUCUGUUAUUAGGGAAGAACAUAUGUGUAAGUAACUGUGCACAUCUUGACGGUACCUAAUCAGAAAGCCACGGCUAGCUACGUG